UAAGAGAUCCUUAACAUCUGUUGCCUGGGCUGGCGAGUUCUUUGCAUGAGAAGCCAUGAGUAGAUUGAGCUGCAGCCUGACAUCUGGAAUGUUCUUUCUAAUUACAGUACUCGCAGAAGGAAGACAAAUAUGAGGAAGAGAUCAAGGUCCUUUCCGACAAGCUGAAGGAGGCUGAGACUCGAGCUGAGUUUGCGGAGAGGUCAGUAACUAAAUUGGAGAAAAGCAUUGAUGACUUAGAAGAUAAGUUUCUUUGCUUCACUUCUCCCAAGACUCCCUCAUCGAGCUGGAUGUCCCACCUCUCUGAGCUCUGCAUUUGUCUGUUCUCCAGCUGACCCUGGUUCUCUCUCUUAGCAUCCUGCCUUAGAGCCAGGCACACACUGUGCUUUCUAUUGUACAGAAACUCUUCAUUUCAGUGUCAAAUAAACACUGUGUAAGCU
rnacentral:sRNA from 1 species